rnacentral:rRNA from 1 species
GACGAACGCUGGCGGCGUGCCUAAUACAUGCAAGUCGAGCGAAGUUUUUCUGGUGCUUGCACUAGAAAAACUUAGCGGCGAACGGGUGAGUAACACGUAAAGAACCUGCCUCAUAGACUGGGACAACUAUUGGAAACGAUAGCUAAUACCGGAUAACAGUAUUUCUCGCAUGAGAGAUAUUUAAAAGUUGGUUAUGCUAACACUAUGAGAUGGCUUUGCGGUGCAUUAGCUAGUUGGUGGGGUAAAGGCCCACCAAGGCGACGAUGCAUAGCCGACCUGAGAGGGUGAUCGGCCACACUGGGACCGAGACACGGCCCAGACUCCUACGGGAGGCAGCAGUAGGGAAUCUUCCGCAAUGGGCGAAAGCCUGACGGAGCAACGCCGCGUGAGUGAAGAAGGAUUUCGGUUCGUAAAGCUCUGUUGUUAGGGAAGAAUGGAUAUGUAGUAACUAUACAUGUAAGAGACGGUACCUAACCAGAAAGCCACGGCUAACUACGUG